rnacentral:rRNA from 1 species
AAGGCUAAGCCUGGGARUCGAACGCCCGCCGCCGCGGGCGUGGCGGACGGCUGAGUAACACGUGGCUAACCUACCCUCGGGAGGGGGAUAACACCGGGAAACUGGCGCUAAUCCCCCAUAGGGGCGGAUGCCUGGAAGGGUUCCGCCCCGAAAGGGGCCCGGGGGGAACGCCCCGGGUCCGCCCGAGGAUGGGGCCGCGCCCUAUCAGGUAGUUGGCGGGGUAAUGGCCCGCCAAGCCGAAGACGGGUAGGGGCCGUGGGAGCGGGAGCCCCCAGAUGGGCACUGAGACAAGGGCCCAGGCCCUACGGGGCGCACCAGGGCGGCGAAAACUCGCGCAUAUGCGGGGCAAACCGUGACGGGGUUACCCCGAUGUGCCCCCCUCACGGGGGGCUUUUCCCCGCUGUAAACAGGCGGGGGCAAUAAGCGGGGGGCAAGUCUUGGUGUCAGCCGCCGCGGUAAUACCAGCCCCGCGAGUGGUCGGGACGAUUAUUGGGCCUAAAGCGCCCGUAGCCGGCCUGGUAGGUCCCCCCCUAAAGCCCGGGGCUCAACCCCGGGAAUGGGGGGGAUACCGCCAGGCUAGGGGGCGGGAGAGGCCGAGGGUACUCCCGGGGUAGGGGCGAAAUCCGAUAAUCCCGGGAGGACCGCCAGUGGCGAAGGCGCUCGGGCUGGAACGCGCCCGACGGUGAGGGGCGAAAGCCGGGGGAGCAAACCGGAUUAGAUACCCGGGUAGUCCCGGCUGUAAACGAUGCGGGCUAGGUGUUGGUGCGGGCCUAGAGCCCGCCCAGUGCCGCAGGGAAGCCGUUAAGCCCGCCGCCUGGGGAGUACGGCCGCAAGGCUGAAACUUAAAGGAAUUGGCGGUGGAGCACCACAAGGGGUGGAGCCUGCGGCUUAAUUGGAGUCAACGCCGGG